rnacentral:tRNA from 1 species
GACCUGGUGGCCGAGUGGCUAGGCGAGGUCCUUGCAAGUUCCUUCACGCCGGUUCGAAUCCGGCCCAGGUCUCCA